UACGUAGGUGGCAAGCGUUGUCCGGAAUUAUUGGGCGUAAAGCGCGCGCAGGCGGUCCCUUAAGUCUGAUGAUUGAAAGUCCACAGGCUCAACCGUGGAGGGUCAUUGGAAACUGGGGGACUUGAGUACAGAAGAGGAAAGCGGAAUUCCACGGUGUAGCGGUGAAAUGCGUAGAGAAUGUGGAGGAACACCAGUGGCGAAGGCGGCUUUCUGGUCU
rnacentral:rRNA from 1 species